AGCGAACGCUGGCGGCAGGCUUAACACAUGCAAGUCGAGCGGGCGUAGCAAUACGUCAGCGGCAGACGGGUGAGUAACGCGUGGGAACGUACCUUUUGGUUCGGAACAACCCAGGGAAACUUGGGCUAAUACCGGAUAAGCCCUUACGGGGAAAGAUUUAUCGCCGAAAGAUCGGCCCGCGUCUGAUUAGCUAGUUGGUGAGGUAACGGCUCACCAAGGCGACGAUCAGUAGCUGGUCUGAGAGGAUGAUCAGCCACAUUGGGACUGAGACACGGCCCAAACUCCUACGGGAGGCAGCAGUGGGGAAUAUUGGACAAUGGGCGCAAGCCUGAUCCAGCCAUGCCGCGUGAGUGAUGAAGGCCCUAGGGUUGUAAAGCUCUUUUGUGCGGGAAGAUAAUGACGGUACCGCAAGAAUAAGCCCCGGCUAACUUCGUGCCAGCAGCCGCCGUAAU
rnacentral:rRNA from 1 species